CGCUCCUCGCCCUCAGCGCUUUCCUCCUGGCCUGCGUCAUUCUGCAUUGGGGGGCGGCGGGCAUGACAGAAUGCUGACACCACAAUUUGAAGCAUCAUGGAGUUAUGGGAGCCUGAUGUUUUUUGUUUUGUUGGUGACGUCGGGUCUGGGUGCCGCUAUUGGAGGAGCCAUGGGUGCCUCAGCUGGCUCAUCGAGCUUCCAUGCCUUAGCUGGCUCGAGAGGUUUCCUUGCCUUGGUUGGCUCGGCAGGUUCCCAUCCCACGUCAUGCCUCAGCCGGCUCGUUGGGCUUCAACAACUCAGCCGGCUCAUCAGGCUCCCAUCCCAUGUCAUGUCUCAGCCAGUUCGUCGGGCUCCCACGCCUCAGCCGGCUCAUCAGGCUCCCAUCCUACGUCAUGCCUCAGCCGGCACAUCAGGCUCCCAUGCCUCGGCCGGCCCAUCAGGCUCGCCCAGGUGGGACGCCGGGUGGUGCCCCUAGAGGGGGGGGGUACUGUCAUGCCUGUUCCCGAUUCCCCUCUCUGGUGCUCAAGAGCACCAGGCUGCCCCUCAUUACACACACCCGUCACCAUCAUUACGCGCAUCUGCGCAAUAUUGGACUCACCUGGACUUUGUUGAUUGCCCCUCUAGAUCUGUCUGCUCCUCAGUUUGUUCCCU
rnacentral:lncRNA from 1 species